AGAUUGAACGCUGGCGGCAGGCCUAACACAUGCAAGUCGAGCGGCAGCACGGGUACUUGUACCUGGUGGCGAGCGGCGGACGGGUGAGUAAUGCCUAGGAAUCUGCCUGGUAGUGGGGGAUAACGCUCGGAAACGGACGCUAAUACCGCAUACGUCCUACGGGAGAAAGCAGGGGACCUUCGGGCCUUGCGCUAUCAGAUGAGCCUAGGUCGAUUAGCUAGUUGUGAGG
rnacentral:rRNA from 1 species